UGGCUCAGAAUGAACGCUAGUGGCAGGCUUAACACAUGCAAGUCGAGGGGUAACGAUGGUGCUUGCACUAGGCGACGACCGGCGCACGGGUGAGUAACGCGUAUGCAACCUACCCAUAACUUGAGAAUAGCCCGAAGAAAUUCGGAUUAAUACUCAAUAAUAUUUCUUAGAGGCAUCUCUUUGAUCUUAAAGUUCCGACGGUUAUGGAUGGGCAUGCGUGCCAUUAGUUUGUUGGUGAGGUAACGGCUCACCAAGUUGACUAUGAUGGCUAGGGGGUCUUAAAGGAUGGUCCCCCACACUGGUACUGAGACACGGACCAGACUCCUACGGGAGGCAGCAGUGAGGAAUAUUGGUCAAUGGGCGAAAGCCUGAACCAGCCAUGCCGCGUGCAGGAUGACGGCCCUAUGGGUUGUAAACUGCUUUUAUACGGGAAGAAACACCCCUACGUGUAGGGGCUUGACGGUACCGUAAGUAUAAGCAUCGGCUAACUCCGUGCCAGCAGCCGCGGUAAUACGGAGGAUGCAAGCGUUAUCCGGAUUUAUUAGGUUUAAAGGGUGCGCAGGCGGAAAUGUAAGUCAGUGGUGAAAUCCUACAGCUUAACUGUAGAACUGCCAUUGAUACUGCUUUUCUUGAGUGUAGUUGAGGUAGGCGGAAUGUGUAGUGUAGCGGUGAAAUGCGUAGAUAUUACACAGAACACCGAUUGCGAAGGCAGCUUACUAAACUAUUACUGACGCUCAUGCACGAAAGCGUGGGGGGCGAAC
rnacentral:rRNA from 1 species